GACGAACGCUGGCGGCGUGCUUAACACAUGCCAGUCGAACGGAAAGGCCCUGCUUUUGUGGGGUGCUCGAGUGGCGAACGGGUGAGUAACACGUGAGUAACCUGCCCCUGACUUUGGGAUAACUUCAGGAAACUGGGGCUAAUACCGGAUAGGAGCUCCUGCUGCAUGGUGGGGGUUGGAAAGUUUCGGCGGUUGGGGAUGGACUCGCCGCUUAUUAGCUUGUUGGUGGGGUAGUGGCUUACCAAUGCUUUGACGGGUAGCGGGCCUGCGAGGGUGACCGGCGAGAUUGGGCCGGGAAUACGGCCCGGACUAGUACGGGAGGCAGCAGUGGGGUAUAUUGCACCAUGGGCGGGAGCCUGAUCCAGCAACGCCGCGUGCGGGGUGACGGGAAUCGGGUUGGAAACCGCUUUCGCCUGUGACGAGGCGUGAGUGACGGUAAUGGGUAAAGAAGCACCGGCUAACUACGUG
rnacentral:rRNA from 1 species